rnacentral:rRNA from 1 species
AACGAACGCUGGCGGCAUGCCUAACACAUGCAAGUCGAACGAAGCCUUCGGGCUUAGUGGCGCACGGGUGCGUAACGCGUGGGAAUCUGCCCUUUGGUUCGGAAUAACAGUUGGAAACGACUGCUAAUACCGGAUGAUGACGAAAGGCCAAAGAUUUAUCGCCAGAGGAUGAGCCCGGGUAGGAUUAGCUAGUUGGUGUGGUAAAGGCGCACCAAGGCGACCAUCCUUAGCUGGUCUGAGAGGAUGAUCAGCCACACUGGUACAGAGACACGGCCCAGACUCCUACGGGAGGCAGCAGGGGGGAAGAUUGGACAAUGGGCGAAAGCCUGAUCCAGCAAUGCCGCGUGAGUGAUGAAGGCCCUAGGGUUGUAAAGCUCUUUUACCCGGGAUGAUAAUGACAGUACCGGGAGAAUAAGCCCCGGCUAACUCCGUGCCAGCCGCCGCAGUAA